rnacentral:rRNA from 1 species
AGAGGGGGCUAGCGUUAUUCGGAAUUAUUGGGCGUAAAGGGCGCGUAGGCGGCCAUGCGUGUCUUCCGUGAAAUCCCUCGGCUCAACCGAGGACGUGCGGAAGAAACUACAAGGCUUGAGUCCAGAAGAGGGGGGCGGAAUUCCCAGUGUAGCGGUGAAAUGCGUAGAUAUUGGGAGGAACACCGGUGGCGAAGGCGGCCCCCUGGGCUGGUACUGACGCUGAGGCGCGAAAGCGUGGGUAGCAAACGGGAUUAGAUACCCCGGUAGUCCACGCCGUAAACGAUGGGCACUUGGUGUCGCGGGUAUCGACCCCUGCGGUGCCGAAGCUAACGCAUUAAGUGCCCCGCCUGGGGAGUACGGUCGCAAGGCUG